CUUCAUGUUUAAUCGGGCUGCCAAUUUGCUACUGCUUCUGGUGAUCACAACGUUGAUGAUAACCACAGUAAUCUCCACACUGGAUGAGGAUGAGAUAGAAAGAUACUUGAAGCAAGUCAACAAACCCGCUGUUAAAACAAUCAUAAGUCCGGAUGGAGACAUAAUAGAUUGUGUUCAUAUAUACGAUCAACCCGCUUUCGACAAUCCAUUACUAAAGAACCACACUAUUCGGAUGAGACCGAGUUUUCUCCCCAUCUCUUCAACCAAAGAUCUCCCUUCAACCAGUGAUAAACAAUCGGAGAUACUCGCAACUCAGGUAUGGCGCCAGAAUGGAGAAUGCCCAGAAAAUACCGUUCCAAUAAGAAGAACAACAAGAGAAGAUAUCUUACGAUGGGGGGGUCCCCUCAAAACUAUCGGAAAAAGAGUGGUGAUACGAAGGAGCUAAGAUCAAACCAAUAAAAUCUACAUACUAGGAAAAAAUGGAUCGAAGUUGUUACCUUUUGGUCUUCUGCAUUAAUGUGUGUAAUUCCAUUGUGAUCCUUUUAUACG